rnacentral:rRNA from 1 species
UACGUAGGGGGCAAGCGUUAAUCGGAAUUACUGGGCGUAAAGCGAGCGUAGUCGGUUAUUUAAGUCGGAUGUGAAAUCCCCGGGCUCAACCUGGGAAUUGCAUUCGAUACUGGAUAGCUAGAGUUCGGCAGAGGGAAGCGGAAUUUCGGGUGUAGCGGUGAAAUGCGUAGAUAUCCGAAGGAACAUCAGUGGCGAAAGCGGCUUCCUGGACCAGAACUGACGAUCAGGCUCGAAAGCGUGGGGAGCAAACAGG